CUCACCCUCAGCGGUCACGUUCCUGCCGCACAAGGACUGCAGCCAUCCAGGGAUAGAAGUAUUUAUUCCUGAAUUCUUUGUGGAGAAAUCAGUCAGCCGCCUCGCCCUAGGAAACCUCAUGGGUGGGCCUCCCACCGCAUCCUCACGCACCUCUCCCUCGAGUCCCAGAGCCUCAACCCCAUUACACAGGGGCACCGGUGGAACCGAGGCGCCACUCAGGGAAGGCAGAGGGACUGCCAGAGCAGCAGUGCAUCAGCAAGACAAGGGGAUGCAGGGAGCGGCACCUGGCAAAGCGGGGGGUGCCAAAGCGUUACCUUGGAAGCCUCGGGAACCGAGAGCAACGAGGGCCUGCAGCCAUCUGAGCCCAGGCUGGGACUUGCCUUCUCACAGCGCAGCAGGGCAGGCUGUGGGCAGCGCUGGGCACAGAUCCCAAGGAGAACGCGGCCGCUUCAGGAAGCGGCGUCGGACAUCUCACGGGCUGCAGCGGCGCGGCAGAGCAGAGCGGGACAGUCCUUUCCUGGGCAGUGCCGGGCCUGAUGCGCCCCACGGUACGGUUGGCCACCCACACACCAGCAUCACGAUACUAAAACAAAUCCAGGGAUCUUUGCUCCUCUGAAUUCUUAUUUCCAUCUCUCACUCUGGCAAAACAGAGCUUGCAAUGAAGACGUUGCUGCCAGAUGUAAAUACACCCGAAGCCAAGGGGCUGUUGCGGGGCUAUAAAAGGCCGUGAGCACGUACAAUGAAGCUCUCUGUCCUGCACAAGCAACGGAGCCCAUGCCUAAGUUGCCACAAGCUGUCCCCGUUCUGUGCCCUCCCAGCUCCUGGUGCCCCAUCAGCCCCUCUCCAGCAGGACACC